GUCAGUGUUCUCUAGUGGUUAGGACGCGAGCUUCACACGCUCGAGAUCGAGGGUUCGAUCCCCUCCUCUGAUA
rnacentral:tRNA from 1 species